GAUGAAGAACGCAGCGAAAUGCGAUACGUAGUGUGAAUUGCAGAAUUCAGUGAAUCAUCGAAUCUUUGAACGCACAUUGCACCUCUCGGUAUUCCGGGAGGUAUGCCUGUUCGAGCGUCAUCUGUACCCUCAAGCUCUGCUUGGUGUUGGGUGUUUGUUCCGCCUCUGUGUGUGAACUCGCCUCAAAACAAUUGGCAGCCGGCGUACUUGUUUCGGAGCGCAGCACAUUUUGCGAUCCAGAUCAACGUACAGCGGCAUCCAAGAAGCCUUAUUUAACGCUCUUGACCUCGGAUCAGGUAGGGAUACCCGCUGAACUUAAGCAUAUCAAUAAGCGGAGGA
rnacentral:misc_RNA from 1 species